GUGGAGGCGCCUACGCAUGUGGGCGUGUCAUUCCGGGGAGUGUCUGUGUUCAGCCAAUCAAACCUUAGAAGUGAGAUCGGUGGGCGUGACCACUCCGCCCACACUACCCUGUCCCAGCUGCAGCAUGCUUUUGUUCAAACUCAGAAGUGAGACAGUCGGUCCUCAACAGAGGUGCACUUUUACAUUACUUACCCGAUGAGUUCAUAAAACGCUGACAACAACAGUGUCUCUCUUGUCGAGCGCAUUGAAUUUGAUGUAUUUUUAACCAGCAGGGUACCAGUUUUGGAAACCAAAUUAGUUUCUGUUGGACUUUGGUCGCAUGCCGUUGUUCAAACAGGCACAGCAAGGUGUCGCGAGCAACUGGAGUGCUGGAAGAGAAGAGAAGAGGAAUUUUCCUUGAACUAGUUCUUUGUCGGUUUUGUUGGAGUGUGACUGCUGUCAUGUACACUUAGACAUUUUACAUGUUCUUUGACCGAGAAGAGAGAGUAAGCUUAUGCUACCCUUCAUCCUCCUCGCUGGAUAUCUAUGGAGAGGGUGUCCUCCUGUAUGCUCUCUCGCAGCUCUUGGAGUUACUUGCGGCCGAAGCAACACCGUGAGUGUUGAAUUCACCAACCUGGAUAGCAGAAGACGACACACUUAACCUUAUUUGAAUGCCUUUGCAAGGAGUUUGCUGGUUUCUGUGCUGCAGGCAGGGCUUUAAUUUGCUCGGACGGGACUAUGGGGAGAAAGAGGAGGAAGAGUCUUUUGAAUUGCGCAACAAGGAGGACUUAACUCCCAAUGGACGGAAGUCUAACAGUACCAGCAGCCACCAGAUAAGAGCAACAUCUGUUGCUCAGGGGUAUCCAGAGAGGUGUUUGUGUGCAGCACUCUUCUUCUUGGCAAACAUCCCUGUCUUGGUCAUAAUGCACCAUCUGCAUGGCUAAAGGAACGCAACUGUGGUCUACUUUCCCGAUCAAUACAAGAUCAUAGUCACAUGUCCCAGUGGAGACCCCUGAUGGCCUUUUUUAAAGUGAGAUGCAGUCACUUUCCCGGAUCCCUCAUUAAAAUGCAACCUAUACUCCAUCUGCAGAAUUGGGCUUCUCUGGGUGGCUUGGGUUUAAUGUUGGUUUAUUGAAUUGCAGAUGUAUUGUUUGGAGAAGAAUGUGGCCCUGAGAGAUGAGGAUGACCUUGAUCUAAGGAUUGGGUUCCGGCAUAUCUGUAGUCUCUCUACAAGAUAAAUUGUGUGUGAUACUGCUGCAUUUUAACUGUUGUACCUGGGGAAAGUUCAAAUUUGAAACUGAUGUAAUUUUAACGCAAUAAUAGUUUCUAAAAUAAAGCUGGCUCUAUCAUUUGUCAGUAUAGGCUUAUGUAUGGCAGUGCAAAACUGAGUAAUGUGAAGCUGAUAAGGCUUCUCUGCCUUUAGAGCUGCUCUCUCCCCUACAGUGGUGUUACAUCACUGAUUAGAGUCUUGUUUCUAUUGAUUUCUUGCUUGUAAAUAUUCAUGAAUGUGGAUUGACUUGUCUUGAGUCAUAAAAAUGAUAUUGUGUCUGUAUUAAUCUAAGUAAUAUACUUCCCUCUGAGGAACAUUCGGUCUUAAUCUAUCAUGUGGUUAGGCCUGUUCAGUUUAUCAGAUUACUUCUUAAUGGGAGGAACCAUUUAUUGACUGAUGUAACUGACAGUGUUUUACCUAGUGAACUGCAAUUGGUUACUUACUUUUGCACUAAACAAACCUUUUUUGUUGGAAUAAAUCUGCCCAGAUGUUUUGAAGUUUAUUGAUUAUUGAUUCCCAAAUGCAUGCAGGUAAUCAACCUACUUGCACUGUUUUAUGCUGGUUAUUGUAACUGUGUCAAUAGCUCAUGCUGACCCACUCUUAGCCAACACAAUUCGUUUUGCUCCCCAGAGCCCCUCCCCUCAGAAUACACAGAUCUGUCUAGUACUGUUUGGCUUUCCAUGGUGUCAAUGGAGGGGGUGGGGCAAAGAGCGUUGAAGAUGGUCUACAGUGAUUCCCAGGGAAAGUCCCUUAGGGCUACGUUCCAUUGUUUACCCUAAGAGCUCCAUUUCGUCCAGAUCUUGACAAGCCACAUUUUCAGACAGCAGGUCAGACCUCCCUGGGUGUGUGUGUGUGUGUGUGUGUGUGUGUGUGUGUGUGUGUGUGUGUGUGUGUGUGUGUGUGUGUGUGUCUUUUGGGCUUCAUAACACUGAAAAACUCCAUUUAGUAGACCUCUGUCUAGCUCCUGCCAAGGAGGACCACAGUUACCCACAGGU
rnacentral:lncRNA from 1 species